GGCGCUAUAGCCAAGUGGUUACGGCGACAGAUUAGAAUCCCAUUGGAAUUCAAAUAUCUGUUCCUCUUUGAGGGCGCAGGUUCAAAUCCUGCUGGCGUCG
rnacentral:tRNA from 1 species